GAACGCACAUUGCGCCCCUCGGUAUUCCGUGGGGCACGCCUGUUAGAGCGUCAUUUACACCCUCAAGCGCAGCUUGGUGUUGGGCGUCUGUCCCGCUCUCCGUAGCGCGGACUCGCCUCAAAGUCAUUGGCGGCGGUCGUGCCGGCUCCUCGCGCAGCACAUUUGCGCUUCUCGGAGGCCCGGCGGAUCGGCAUCCAGCAAGCUACUUUUUAUGACUUGACCUCGGAUCAGGUGAGGAUACCCGCUGAACUUAAG
rnacentral:misc_RNA from 1 species